rnacentral:rRNA from 1 species
CUACGGGGGGCUGCAGUGGGGAAUAUUGGACAAUGGGGGAAACCCUGAUCCAGCAAUGCCGCGUGUGUGAAGAAGGCCUUAGGGUUGUAAAGCACUUUCACCCGUGAAGAUGAUGACGGUAGCGGGAGAAGAAGCCCCGGCUAACUCCGUGCCAGCAGCCGCGGUAAUACGGAGGGGGCUAGCGUUGUUCGGAAUUACUGGGCGUAACGCGCGCGUAGGCGGCGCAUCGAGUUAGGCGUGAAAGGCCUGGGCUUAACCUGGGAACUGCGCUUAAUACUGGUGUGCUUGAGUCCGGAAGGGGGUGGCGGAAUCCCCAGUGUAGAGGUGAAAUUCGUAGAUAUUGGGAAGAACACCGGUGGCGAAGGCGGCCACCUGGUCCGGAACUGACGCUGAGGUGCGAAAGCGUGGGGAGCAAACAGGAUUAGAUACCCGGGUAGUC